UACGAAGGGGGCUAGCGUUGUUCGGAAUCACUGGGCGUAAAGCGCACGUAGGCGGAUCUUUAAGUCAGGGGUGAAAUCCCGAGGCUCAACCUCGGAACUGCCUUUGAUACUGGGGAUCUCGAGUCCGGGAGAGGUGAGUGGAACUGCGAGUGUAGAGGUGAAAUUCGUAGGUAUUCGCAAGAACACCAGUGGCGAAGGCGGCUCACUGGCCCGGAACUGACGCUGAGGUGCGAAAGCGUGGGGAGCAAACAGG
rnacentral:rRNA from 1 species